CACACAUGCAGAGGCAACUCCUGUUGCCACCUUCAGAUGUAACUUUCCACACCCUCGUCUAUCAAUGUGCACCCAUCAUAUUUUACAGAGAUAGGAUCAGGAUGUUCACAUUGUUUCACAGCUUGUAAGACUUUAUUUUUAAAAAUGUUAAGUGACACACAAAAUGUUGAAAAAAAUCACCACUCUAUGUGAUGCAAGUCCAAAUACAAAACAUUAAAACAAACAACUUCCUUCCCAAAGCCAGGUAUGGGUUUAUUUUAUUUUUUUUUAACCAGGUUGCCAUUAUGAAGAAAUUGCUGUGCUCAUCAACUUACUUUGAACCAAGCUGUUCUUUACCGAAUGCCCUGAAGUCAUUGGAAAGUCACACUACCUUGCUUUAAAGUGAAGAAUUAGAAUUGUUUCUCUGAAGAUGAGGGAGGUGCAUGAAGGAUGUCAGGUACAACAGUGGUACGGUUUGGAUCUUAAAUUUCUAAAGCCACGUAGGCCUUGAUUCAAACUCCAGUGUGAAUAUUCAGUUGAAUGAAUCUAAACAGUUUCUGAAGCAGUUUAAGGCUCAGUUUUUACAUUGAUGGUAAAAGUAACAUCUCUCCUGCAGGACGGCUCUGUGAAUGGAAGGAAACAGCUCGAUCCAGGUCUCUAGACGUGACAAGCAUUGACUCAGUGGAAAGUCCUGCGAUUUUUGUGGUUUUUAGACCAGGCAGAUCUGGGCAUGACUAGAGGAGGUUUUUCCUGGGACGCAGAAGGCGGUUGUAAUCCCAGAGUCCGGAUGCCCUCGUUAGAAUUCUGGGCCUGUAAUUCGCCUUGCUGGGGUGUCCUCCGCAAGACUUUCAGCUUCUCUGAUCCUCAUUUUUCUUAUCUGAAAUAGGCCUGUCUCACAGAGCUAAUUCCCAAAACUUCUGUGUAUUUGUGGCAGCCGUGUGUAUGCUAUUGAGAACUGGACGGGAGUGAAAGAGAGUGAUGAAGACAACAGUCUAUACAGCAUCUCCUAUUACCUGUUAGCUCAGUGCUUCAUGUGCAUUACCUCACUGAAUUCUCGCAACAGCCCAAAAAGGUCAUAAUCAUCUGGAGAGACACAUUGGCAGAGAGACUACCUUAAUACAAUGGGAGGAAGCGAUGAACAAACUGCGGUGCAUUCACACAACAGCGGUGCUACACAGCAGCGAAGAGGAGCAGCCGACUGACACGCACAACAACUCGGAUCUCAGGAGCAUCGCACCGAGCUGGAGAAGCCAGACACGAGCCGCUGCACACCGUAUGAUUCCAUGGCAUUCUGGGAAAGGCAAAACUCCAAGCACAGAGAACGCAUGAGUUGUUGCCCAGGUUUGGGGUUCCAGGAAGAGGAUGGAUUACUAAGAAGCACAGGGGAAUGUUUUGGGGUGAUGAAAAUGUUGUAUGUCUUGUCUUUUUCUUUUCUUUUUGUGAAACAGAGUUUCACUCUUGUCGUCCAGGCUGGAGAGCAAUGGUGUGAUCUCAGCUCACUGCAACCUGCACCUCCCAGGUUCAAGCAAUUCUCCAGCCUCAGCCUCUUGAAUAACUGAGAUUACAGGCACAUGCCUCCCCGCCCAGCUAAUUUUUGUAUUUUUAGUAGAGACGGGUUUUCACCAUGUUGGUCAGGCUGGUCUUGAACUCCUGA
ensembl:lncRNA LINC03022 long intergenic non-protein coding RNA 3022